AACCAUAGAAACCUGCGGAGUACCUGCGGAAGGAUCAUUACCGUGCCUGUAGUUGUUGGCGGCUCCUCCGGGGGUUCGUUCAGCGCUACGUUCGGCCCAACCGUGUCUAUCUAUACCUGUUGCUUCGGCGGGCCUGCGGGCUUGCUCGCUGCCGGGAGCCCCUAAAGCUCCGGGCGCGUGCCCGCCGAAGACGCCUAGAACUACUGUUGAACUUAGCGGUCUGAGUGGGCUUUAUAAUCG
rnacentral:misc_RNA from 1 species